UACGAAGGGGGCUAGCGUUGCUCGGAAUUACUGGGCGUAAAGCGUGCGCAGGCGGUGCUGUAAGACCGAUGUGAAAUCCCCGGGCUUAACCUGGGAACUGCAUUGGUGACUGCAGCGCUGGAGUAUGGCAGAGGGGGGUGGAAUUCCACGUGUAGCAGUGAAAUGCGUAGAGAUGUGGAGGAACACCGAUGGCGAAGGCAGCCCCCUGGGCCAAUACUGACGCUCAUGCACGAAAGCGUGGGGAGCAAACAGG
rnacentral:rRNA from 1 species